rnacentral:rRNA from 2 species
CAUCCUCCAAGGCUAAAUACUCCUGACUGACCGAUAGUGAACCAGUACCGUGAGGGAAAGGCGAAAAGAACCCCGGCGAGGGGAGUGAAAAAGAACCUGAAACCGUGUACGUACAAGCAGUGGGAGCACCCUUUGGGGUGUGACUGCGUACCUUUUGUAUAAUGGGUCAGCGACUUAUAUUCUGUAGCAAGGUUAACCGUAUAGGGGAGCCGCAGGGAAACCGAGUCUUAACCGGGCGUUAAGUUGCAGGGUAUAGACCCGAAACCCGGUGAUCUAGCCAUGGGCAGGUUGAAGGUUGGGUAACACUAACUGGAGGACCGAACCGACUAAUGUUGAAAAAUUAGCGGAUGAUCUGUGGCU